AGACGACAAGGGCAAACCCGGAGCGAUCCGGGGACGCAAAGUAGUGGAUCUUUAAGCCUGCACGGAAGAGGUUUAAAAAAGCCAAAUUUGCAGGUACAGAGACAGCCUUACUGCCGAA
rnacentral:ncRNA from 1 species